AUUGAACGCUGGCGGCAGGCCUAACACAUGCAAGUCGAGCGAGCGGCGGACGGGUGAGUAAUGUAUGGGGACUGCCCGCUAGAGGGGGAUAACUACUGGAAACGGUAGCUAAUACCGCAUACUAUCGGAUAACCCAUAUGGGAUUAGCUAGUAGGUGAGGUAAUGGCUCACCUAGGCGACGAUCCCUAGCUGGUCUGGGAGGAUGAUCAGCCAAACUGGGCUGGGGAACGGGCCCAGACUCCUACGGAGGCAGCGUUGGGGAAUAUUGCACAAGGGGCGCAGGCCUGAUGCAGCCAGGCCGCGUGUAGGAAGAAGGCCCUAGGGUUGAAAGGUACUUUCAGUCGGGAGGCGUUACCGACAGAAGAAGCACCGGCUAACUCCGUGCCAGCAGCCGCGGUAAUUC
rnacentral:rRNA from 1 species